GUCGAACGGCAGCACGUGGGCAACCCUGGUUGGCGAGUGGCGAACGGGUGAGUAAUACAUCGGAACGUGUCCUGGAGUGGGGGAUAGCCCGGCGAAAGCCGGAUUAAUACCGCAUACGAUCUCUGGAUGAAAGCGGGGGACCGAAAGGCCUCGCGCUCAAGGGGCGGCCGAUGGCAGAUUAGCUAGUUGGUGGGGUAAAGGCCUACCAAGGCGACGAUCUGUAGCUGGUCUGAGAGGACGACCAGCCACACUGGGACUGAGACACGGCCCAGACUCCUACGGGAGGCAGCAGUGGGGAAUUUUGGACAAUGGGGGCAACCCUGAUCCAGCAAUGCCGCGUGUGUGAAGAAGGCCUUCGGGUUGUAAAGCACUUUUGUCCGGAAAGAAAACCGCUUCUCUAAUACAGAGGUGGGAUGACGGUACCGGAAGAAUAAGCACCGGCUAACUACGUGCCAGCAGCCGCGGUAAUACGUAGGGUGCGAGCGUUAAUCGGAAUUACUGGGCGUAAAGCGUGCGCAGGCGGUUCGCUAAGACCGAUGUGAAAUCCCCGGGCUUAACCUGGGAACUGCAUUGGUGACUGGCGGGCUANAGUAUGGCAGAGGGGGGUAGAAUCCACGUGUAGCAGUGAAAUGCGUAGAGAUGUGGAGGAAUACCGAUGGCGAAGGCAGCCC
rnacentral:rRNA from 1 species